CUUCAGUUAGAUCAUCUCCACAAAGGGAAAAGAGGAGGAGGAGAGUGGGAAUAACUAAUUCAGCCUCACAGCUCAUAUCAGUAUCCCCUGACUGAAGACUUCACAGUAGUGUAUCUGAAUGGAUUUUGGAGGGAGCAGUAAAACUGACAGCUGAUAAACCACAUAUAUUACCACAGUGAAUUAAAUCUUUAAUAGUGGAAUAAGGAAAAGAAAUAAUGAGUAGCAAACUGUGUAUUUCCAACGUGGAAUUUAUGAAAGUUUGGAGACCUAAUAGUAACAUUCAACUUGAGAACACUAGGUGAUUAAAGGUGGAUCAAAACCAAUGCAUUAGUCAAGUUCAGUGUCUUACUCUUCUUGUGCUGUUGAUGACAGACCAUAAAGCCAUCUCAGAAGUAUGGCACAGCUCACAGUAGCCUGAUUUGAAACCCUAAGCUUCAUAAGGGCUAAUACUGAAACAAUAAAUUGAUCACACCCCUCUGGUUUCUUUGUA